GAUGAACGCUGGCGGCGUGCCUAAUACAUGCAAGUCGAGCGAACAGACGAGGAGCUUGCUCCUCUGACGUUAGCGGCGGACGGGUGAGUAACACGUGGAUAACCUACCUAUAAGACUGGGAUAACUUCGGGAAACCGGAGCUAAUACCGGAUAAUAUAUUGAACCGCAUGGUUCAAUAGUGAAAGACGGUUUUGCUGUCACUUAUAGAUGGAUCCGCGCCGCAUUAGCUAGUUGGUAAGGUAACGGCUUACCAAGGCAACGAUGCGUAGCCGACCUGAGAGGGUGAUCGGCCACACUGGAACUGAGACACGGUCCAGACUCCUACGGGAGGCAGCAGUAGGGAAUCUUCCGCAAUGGGCGAAAGCCUGACGGGGCAACGCCGCGUGAUUGAUGAAGGUCUUCGGAUCGUAAAACUCUGUUAUUAGGGAAGAACAAAUGUGUAAGUAACUAUGCACGUCUUGACGGUACCUAAUCAGAAAGCCACGGCUAACUCCGUG
rnacentral:rRNA from 1 species